rnacentral:rRNA from 1 species
GAUGAACGCUGGCGGCGUGCCUAAUACAUGCAAGUCGAGCGAACAGACGAGGAGCUUGCUCCUCUGACGUUAGCGGCGGACGGGUGAGUAACACGUGGAUAACCUACCUAUAAGACUGGGAUAACUUCGGGAAACCGGAGCUAAUACCGGAUAAUAUAUUGAACCGCAUGGUUCAAUAGUGAAAGAAGGUUUUGCUGUCACUUAUAGAUGGAUCCGCUCCGCAUUAGCUAGUUGGUAAGGUAACGGCUUACCAAGGCAACGAUGCGUAGCCGACCUGAGAGGGUGAUCGGCCACACUGGAACUGAGACACGGUCCAGACUCCUACGGGAGGCAGCAGUAGGGAAUCUUCCGCAAUGGGCGAAAGCCUGACGGAGCAACGCCGCGUGAGUGAUGAAGGUCUUCGGAUCGUAAAACUCUGUUAUUAGGGAAGAACAAAUGUGUAAGUAACUAUGCACGUCUUGACGGUACCUAAUCAGAAAGCCACGGCUAACUACGUG